GAGGCGGGAGGAUCGCUGGAGCCCAGGAGUUGGAGGCUGCAGUGACGUGUGAUCAUACCACUGCACUCCAGCCUGGGUGACAGA
rnacentral:miRNA from 1 species